rnacentral:rRNA from 1 species
UACGUAGGGGGCAAGCGUUGUCCGGAAUCACUGGGCGUAAAGGGCGUGUAGGCGGUCAAGUAAGUGGAAUGUGAAAGCCCCCGGCUUACCCGGGGAUCUGCAUCCCAAACUGCUUGGCUUGAGUACGGGAGAGGAUAGGGGAAUUCCUGGUGUAGCGGUGAAAUGCGUAGAUAUCAGGAGGAACACCGGUGGCGAAGGCGGUGGGCUGGGCCGGAACUGACGCUGAGGAGCGAAAGCGUGGGGAGC